rnacentral:lncRNA from 1 species
CGGGUCUCGAUCUCCAGGUUCACCAAUUCAGGACAAUGUACAAAACAAUUACAUAUAGAAACCUCUUUGUGAAAUAAUUUAAGAUUUUGUAAACUGACAAGUGCAGCAAAUAGGUCCUUCAUAUUCUCAGGAUAUUGUACAUCAUCAAGAGUUAGACUAGUCAAAGCUGGCAAAUCCCAAUCUUUACUGGGCAAUUUACACAUACGCACAACGAGAGAUGUUAAUUCAGGUAAACGAAAAGCACAGGACUGCAAAUCCCAACUUUCAAGCGACAGAUUUCUCAACGCAGGCAAGCAGGUUACAUAUAUUUCCGCCAACUUGUCAACGUCAAACCGGUUAAACCCACAAAAAUUUUUGCGUGUCAAGCAAAGAGUCGAUAAAGCAGGUAAAUCCCAACAAUCUGAUUUUGACACACAAUCUCCAAGUUUAAUUGUCAGUUCCAGUUUCUCAAUAUAUACAGAGUUAAAAUUUGAUAACUUAAACGGCUUAUGUUCCGCCCGGAAAUGAACAUUUAAGUAUCGAACACGACGAACAAUAGCAUAUCUAAUAAACUCAGUCAUUAAGCCUUGAGGCAGCAUAGCCAUCUCCAGACAUGAAAUCUGGGAUUGAUAGUUUCGAUUAAUCAUUACCUGACGAGUUAAAUUACUCAUUUUCGGACAUGAAUACCAGUGAUUCCAUUUGAAGUUGAGAAAGGGGAGAGUAGUCCAUACACGCUUCCAUCGUUUGGAGAGAGCGCUGGUCUGAACACUUAAUUUGGUAUCUACGAACUUGAGAAUUUGAUGAAGCAAUUCAUCUGGCAAUCUGCUGAUUCUGUCUUCUCCAUCUUCACUUGUGAUUCUUGCUUUCUUCUUCUUCUCCCACUGACUGUUCAUUUCUCUUCUCAAGCCCUAGACCCUAAUUUGAUUUUCCCACCAAUGAUAUAAACCAGUGUUCAGACGCCGGGUCCUCGUUUUUAACCCCUCAGCUAUCCGAGUUGCGAGUAAAUGGGUUCAAAAUCGUACUCGAGGUCAAUUUUUUAUUAGAUAAUUUUAUUAUUAAUCAGUGUAUAAUUAUAUAUGAGAAAAAAAAUAAUUAAAAAAAUACCUGAUUAGUUAUCCGAUAACUCGUUCCCAUUACUCUCCCGAGUUUCGAGUACUCAUUUUUCCGGAACCAACUUGAGUUGGAUUGAUUUCCAAUUUUUACAACCUUGAUAUAAAAAAAUUACCAAUGUGUCUCUCGACAAGUUAAAAGUUAAAAUUAGAUCACGCAAAUAUUUAAUAUUAUUUACACAUUGUACAAAAAUAUGAUAGGAAAAUGAAAUAAUAUUUUUCACAUAUAUAUUCUCAUUUACAAUACAGUACACAAACUCAAAAAUAUACGAUCUUAGUGUCUAGUUUACGAUAACGUUUUGAGUAGAGUAUAUGAUUUGAAUAUAUGACCUAAUUAAUUAAUUAAAAUAAUAACAAUUUAUAAUAUAGUAACAAAAAUUUUAAUAAUAAUUUAUGAUAAAUAAUUUGAUAUAUAUAUAUAUAUGUAUAUAUGUAUAUAUCAUAAAUUAUAAAAGAAAAGAAAAGAUAUAAUAUGAAUUAAUAUGUAUAAAUUAGUUAAUUAAGAAUACUUAAAUAUGUAUAUAUUUUAAUCAUAUUUCUUCCUAUAUCGCAUCGUGUAUUUUUGUAUAUGUAAAAAUUUUGUAUAAUUUCCUGCUAUUUCAGUUUUUGCUUAUCACUGUGUUUAGAUUUGAGAUUUAGGUUGUGUCGUGUUCGUGUUUGGAUACACGAUACAAAUCAUUGGGUCCACCGUAAAUAAAUUUAGUAAACUUAAGAGGAGAUGAUCAACUUAGUAAACUUUUUUUUUUUGACAGAAUCAACUUAGUAAACUUGAAAGACAUAAUUACUGUAACAUUUACUUAUUUAUAUCAAAAUAUUCUUCUUUUUUUGUCAAAUUAAGAUUCAAAAACAUCAUCCUAAUAUCCAUGUUGAAAAUGAGUAACACAAUUUCUUUAUUUUAAUUCUUAUACUUAAUCUGUCUCCUUUUAUAUGUCAUUUUUAAAAUAAAAUUUGUUCCUCCUUACAUGUCCAUUUACACUUUCAAAAUAAAUUUAAUGAUAAUUUUUUUAAAUCUAUCUUCAGAAUUUCUAGUUUGAAGGCUUAACUUAUUUAAAAUUUAGUUGAAUCCAUCUUUUUGAAGACAUUAAUUAGAGAUAUUCAAUCAUUUUCAAAACAUUAAUUUAUUCAGAAUAAAAAGUCAAUACAACUAACUAAUUUUUGGCAUGUGUGUUUUUGAAAAUGAAUAUGUAAAAAGAAACAUAAAGAGUAUCACUUAUGAAAAGACCAAUAUUAGCCCCGUCAAUCGUGUCCUGUACUUUCGUGUGCUUUCAAGUUUCGCCGUCAAUCGUGCUGUUUACUUUCACAUUUUGUGAUAAUUAACAUAAACUUGAGUACACAAGGAUAUUUUAACAUAAAGUCUACAUGCAGGAUGACAAUAGAUACCAGAGACUUGAGUACCUGACUAGAAUAGAUAAACGGCAUCCAAACAAAUCUUAAUCAUGCGACUCAUUUUCAGAAAACUACGGGCUUGACAAGAGAUCAUCUCCUAUGCAGCCAACAACAAGGUUUGUGACCGCAGGUCCAAAAGCUUUCUGAAUCUCUUUCAUCUUUUCAGCACGGAGAGUCUCCAGAUCCUUUAAUUUAGUUAUAGUAUCAUCAAAAAGAGUCUUAUACUCUUGUAACUUACUUUUGGUAUCAACAAUAUGAGAGUCAAUUGCAUGAAGCUCCGAAAAUAGGGGCUGUGAAAACCGGACCUGUUCUAUGUAGUUCAGACGGCUCACAAGCCAACUCACGUUAAAUCCGAAUUUCUGCAACUCUGCAAAUACAUCCCUGUACUCGGAAAUCAUCUCAGUGUCAACAUCAGUCAUAGAGAUUUUGGUGAAGUCAUUCACUGAAGUGCACAGGGUAUUCAGCUUAAUUGUACAAAAUUUCUUGUUUUUGGUGGUGAAGUGCUCAAAGGUUUCUGGGUACUUAUCCAUAAUGAGAUCAAGCAGACAUACAAACUCACAGUUAACCUCAUGGCCCUGCCAUAACGCAAAAUCACUAUCAUCUCUGGAGGAUCUUACCUGAUCAUUGCCUGUCCUUUCAACUGGUGCACUAAUUUGUCUAACCCUCUCAACAUCUAAUAAAGAGUUCUGCUCCACAAGCUCUUCUAGCACUCCCAGGUCUGCAGUUUCAACACACGCAGUUUUAUGUAUAUAUUGAGAAUCAACCAAUACCCUGGUUGGAGGUCCCAAGGGCUCUUGUAGCACCACAUUUUGAGCUUUCACAGUAGCUGCCUCUGUAUAAGGAGCGAUGUCCUGGCAAAAAACCCAAAAAGUUCAGGGAAACAUGCUGACUGAGAAUUAAACAUAUGCACCUAUUUAUUAACAUAAUAAAAUGUGUCUUCACAUUAUAUACCUAAUAGAAAAUAAAUAGACCGGCUUAAUAAAAAACAUGAGUUAUCCUAGUCAACUUCUUUUAUAAAGUGAAACAAAAAUAUUCAGCUAAACGAUCAAAUUUUCAGUAAAAGCCAUUAGUUUUAUAACAGCAUACCACCUAGCAAGCUGGCAUCACUUCAACAGUUGAUGCUUAAAAACAUGAUUAAAAUAUAAGUAGGUAUAUCAUCCUAUGAACUCAAAUUUUGUUUUUCCGGCUAAGACCUAGCCCAAGUGAUCUGCUACCCACCCGUUCCAUUUUAACACUCUUGUUUAGAUUCCACUUUCUCCAUCUUAUUCUUUUGGGAAAUAUGCAAAAAUACCCAUGUUUUCAAACUUAUUUUCAAAAUACGGUCGAAGUUGCAACUGAGGUUGCAACACAGUUGAUUUUCAGGUUAUUGGCGUUGCAAAAAAGGUUGCAGAUGAGGCUGCACCUUAUUUUUGAAAAUAAUUUCUGCAACUUGGGUAUUUUUGAAAAACGCCCUAUUCUUUUUAGUCAUGUUUAAAAGAAGUUUGGUUUCACGUUGAUUCACAUGUGUUUGUAUGUACAUGUGCUUUGUGCGGGUGAGCUUCUGUGGAAUAUACCUACACAAUUAAAAUCCCGAAGCUCUAAUUUAAUCAUGCAGAAAAAAAUCACUAAAGGUUGUAACUUCUAUGAUCUAAAGCUCUGUUGAGCGUAAAUUAAUCAAAUCAACCAUGACAAGACCUAUUCAAAGAGAAACAAUUCAUACUCUGGAACAUUGUUAAAUACCAAAUAAAAAGAUAACCAACAUCCACAAUUAGCACGAAAGCAAUCGAAGUACAAGACUGGAUGUAUACUAAACAACUCCAACAAAUGAAAUUCAAGAUCAAAGUGUACCUUUUCAUAAAAUGGUUUUAUGUAUUGGCCAUUUUAAAAACAAGUGAUUAAGUGAAAAACAUUUUGACCUCAACCUUAUGGAGUUGAAAAUUUGUAUAAAUACCUGUUCUUAAUCAAGAUAUUUGGACAUGAACUAGCAGGAAACAUGCUUUGAUGCUUAAUGCCUACGUAAUAUGUUUUUCACAUUUUUCUUAUUUGCUCUGGUAGUAUAAAUUGUUUACUUUAAACCUGAUUGUUCACAAGCCAUAACCAUAUACACCAAAAAUAAUUUGAAGCUAAGACCUUUCUAUAAUAAGACUGGAAGCUAAUUUGAUAACACUUCUUGCAGAGGAAAUUUUGCUAAAAUUAGUAGCACAAAUAAACAAAAAUUCAAAUCCUUUUACAGAGACUUGAAAAUCAAUAUCUGCAAAUCCAUCAUUUCAUGCUCAUGCUCCCCCGUAAAAAAGAAUUUAAUGUACAAGGACUAAGGAGAUAUACCUAGUAUGACUAUAUAAAUUCGACAUGCAUUGUUUAUGAGAUAACGAAUGUAUCAAGUUACUAAGAAGAAAUGAUUGAUAUUUUGAAUACCUGGGCUGUGACAAUGGUGGCUGUUGGAGAGCCACCAAGUAGGUAACUUCUCAGAGUACUGGAUAUAUUUGCCUCAUUACAUCCACGUGGCAGCUUUACAAACUUUAAGUCAUAGAAUGGAGAAGGGAAACUUAAAAGAAAGUCGAAUAUCGAUUGAAGUGCCUACAAGAUUAUAGAACAACAUAGAGUAAUAUAUAAAACAUCAGUCAAAGGAAUUGUAGUUACAUCUGUUGUUCAAUUAACCAACAUAUAAAAAGUAACAAUUAAAUAGCCCAUAUGUUUCCUCCCCAGGGUAUCAUAUUUAGCAUAAAGCACGAUCACAAAGAAACUAAUGAGAAGGGGGCAUAAUUACUCUGCGAGGACAAGUCAAAGAAGGGCAACCACUGUCCGCCACAUGAAUUUGAAAAGGACAAUAUAUAAUAUAGGCUUGUUUCCUUUAAAAAAACAUGGCCUAGAAGCGUGUCAAAUCCUGAUUGUUAACUUCAAAUGGAAUAAUGAAGUUCAAUGGUUCAACCGCAAAGAUGCUUUAUACAUACAAGAGAUGCUUUAUACAUAUACUAUUGAUAGAUGCUAUUAUUUUUGUGACCAAAGUGGGACUGUCUGGUGUAUACAAGUUUAAUCAAACAUAAGCAAACAAAAAUUUAUCAUGCUUUGAAAAAUAGAACAAACUUCUAACAUAUGGCUGCAAGAGACUCUUAUCCCCUCCUUAAAUAUAUUAUAAAAAAAAUUAAUCUCCUAGUAACUUACUCCAACAUAUUGUGUGACAUCUCCAACAUUACUCCAGAUACUCACUCCUUAUCAAACUUGUUAAAGGCAAAAAGGCUGAACAAGGUUAUUAGGCGAAUUGUGCUCAUCUAUAUAUGAGCACAUAUAUUAUUUAUCAUGUACACAUAUUUUGAUUAACUUUAAAAGAUCAUGUGACUCCAUUAAUUAUAUUUUACUAAUGUUUUUAUAUUUGAAAAUUUUGGUUAUCAAUAUGUUGGUUUAGUUGUAACCGUAAUGUGACCCAGAAAAGAUACGUUGCAACGAUAAUAAGAAAAUUCAUUACAUAUUCACAAUGUACAUAAUGUAGUUGAAUGCUUGAUUAACCUGGUGUAGCACAUUCACUAAGUGUACACCUAGGCAACGACUAUAUAACCUACCCUAUUCAAAUCAAAUCAAGGCAGGCAUCUAUCAAUAUUUGAUCGCCUUGUCACCUAGGCGACGCCUUGAUAACUAUGCUCAUUACAUAACUUGUUAAAGAAAGUACUUAAUAUCACUAAAUGUAAUAGACUAAUAAUCAAAAAGUCUAAAAGCUAAGACGGUUUGUUUCGCUUACACUUUUAUCAUUUUCUUUACAUUAUUGGUUUAAAAAAUGUACUAAAAGGAAAAAAUUAUCAAUUAGUUUACGGAUCGAGACUACAAUUAAUAAAUAAUGACACAAUAUCAUUGUUAUACACAUAAAAAGAAUUAAUUACAAUCAAAACCCGCAAACUACUAACUAUGUGCACCUGAAGCUAAUUAGAUAAUGUUCUUACAUAUUUGUAUUAUUAAUAACAAGUAAUAGUAAUAGCGCAAAUAGUUUUAACACUAAUAUCCAUUUUUAAAAAAUUAAAAUAUAUUACUUAAAAAUAACAAUAUAUAUUAAGAGAGAGUUUUUUUAUGGGGUUUUUUGUGGGGUACGGAGUAAUAAUUAGAGUAUUAUAUGUCCUACUACAACACCUUUGCAAAAUUUUGUAAGGAAAACAUUAAGGUACUCCAAGGAGUACUUUAUUCAUAGUUUAAAUAUCAAAGUGUUUUUUUAAAGUAGAAUAUGAACCUGGGAGAGAUGGAGUGUAAACAGAGUGUCUUUAGUAAUUUAUUAAAAUAUGACUCUAAAAGUGGGAGAAGACCCUUUAGAAACAAGGACAAAAGGGAGGCUUCUAUAAAAUGAGGAGCUACUAGGAGCCCCUUGGAGCUAAUUUUUUAAUUAAUACCUCAUAAAUUUUAACUUCAAUUUAAAAUACGAAGUCUCUUGGAGAAGCUAUAAGGUAAUAUUAUUACUGGGCGAUCACAUUAAAUAAGAACUGGAAUAUGAGAUAGCUUACAGAUAAAUAACUGAAUUUACUAAAGAUGUAUCAUAAGGCAUGUUAAGAAAUUAGUAGAUCUUUUUAAGUCAUAAGUUAUAAAAUAAAAUAUCAAUUAUACCUUUGAAGAGAGAAGGAAACAAAUAGUCAUGUGAAGUGAUAAAUAAACUCCACAUUCUACAAUUUAAACUCCACACUAAUAUGUAUAUUACAUUAUAACCCAAAAGUCAUAAAUGUCGAUAAUUACGAGAUUGAAAUUAAGUUACCUCAAUGGCUUCCAGGUCAAGAUUAAGAAUCUUGGCACUACCAAGUGCGGGAAGCAUAAUGGUAAAUUGUUGAUAAGUUUCUUUCGACUUUUCCCAGUAGAAGUUCUUGUCAUCUAUCCAACCAUGCAGUUUAACAUUUGCAUAGUCCAACUUGGAAACUUCAAACAUGAUUCUAAAGAUACCAACAGAAGUAAAAUUGCUGAGUUUUGGAGCAAAAACCACAACUGUACUGUCAGGAACCGCUUUGUAGGAGCAGUAGCGGGUCUUGAUUUCCAGGUUCACCAAUUCAGGACAAUGUACAAAACAGUUUUGUACAGAAACAUCGUCGUAAGUUAAUUUGAGAUUUCGUAGAUUGACAAGUGCAGCAAAUAGGUCCUUCAUAUUCUCAGGAAAUUUCACAUCAUCAAGAGUUAGACUAGUUAAAGCUGGCAAAUUCCAAACUUUGGGCAAUUUGCAUCUACGUAGAAUGAGAGUUGUCAAGU